rnacentral:rRNA from 1 species
GACAGAGGGUGCAACCGUUGUUCGGAAUUACUGGGCGUAAAGCGCGUGUAGGCUGCUUCGCAAGUCGGGUGUGAAAGCCCUGGGCUCAACCUAGGAAGUGCACUCGAAACUGCGAAGCUUGAGUCCUGGAGAGGAAGGCGGAAUUCUCGGUGUAGAGGUGAAAUUCGUAGAUAUCGAGAGGAACACCGGUGGCGAAGGCGGCCUUCUGGACAGUGACUGACACUGAGACGCGAAAGCGUGGGGAGCAAACAGG